rnacentral:rRNA from 1 species
AUUGAACGCUGGCGGCAGGCCUAACACAUGCAAGUCGAGCGGAUGAAGCGAGCUUGCUCCUGGAUUCAGCGGCGGACGGGUGAGUAAUGCCUAGGAAUCUGCCUGGUAGUGGGGGAUAACGUCCGGAAACGGGCGCUAAUACCGCAUACGUCCUGAGGGAGAAAGUGGGGGAUCUUCGGACCUCACGCUAUCAGAUGAGCCUAGGUCGGAUUAGCUAGUUGGUGGGGUAAAGGCCUACCAAGGCGACGAUCCGUAACUGGUCUGAGAGGAUGAUCAGUCACACUGGAACUGAGACACGGUCCAGACUCCUACGGGAGGCAGCAGUGGGGAAUAUUGGACAAUGGGCGAAAGCCUGAUCCAGCCAUGCCGCGUGUGUGAAGAAGGUCUUCGGAUUGUAAAGCACUUUAAGUUGGGAGGAAGGGCAGUAAGUUAAUACCUUGCUGUUUUGACGUUACCAACAGAAUAAGCCCCGGCUAACUUCGUG